GAGUAUAAUGGAAGGAGCUUUGCAAUCAGUUUUUGAUCGCUUUUGGCAAUGGAGGUUGAAGGAAGCGCCUGAAUUUGGCACUAUGAUAGGAGAACAUGGCUAUGAUGAUGAUUUAGGAAAAUGCCAAAGAGUUCGUUGCAGAACUGGAAAAUAUUGAUAUGAAUCUACUAAGCAAGGAAGAUAAUAUGAACUGUAAAUUGUUGCAUCUUGAGCUGUCUACAUAUGUCAGUGGCAUGGGGUUCAAAUGUCAUUUGUUUCCUGUGAAUUGUUUGGAAGGGCCGCAUAUUGACUUUAAGAAAACUAUCUCAUGGAUGAAAACAGAGAACAUGAAAGAUAUUGAAAAAGUUCUAUCAAGAUUUAAUAAAUUUCCAGUUAAGGUAGCUACUGGGACAUACCAAGAAGCAGUGCGCAAAUUAGUUCAGAAAAAAUGAUGUGCAAUUUUUUUGACAAAAGUGUUUCUUUAGAGACAUAAUCAAAUCG